rnacentral:hammerhead_ribozyme from 1 species
GCUCAGCUGAAGAGUUCUUAACAGAACGAAACACGUGUCUUGGAU